UACGGAGGGGGCUAGCGUUGUUCGGAAUUACUGGGCGUAAAGCGCACGUAGGCGGCUUUGCAAGUUAGAGGUGAAAGCCCGGGGCUCAACUCCGGAAUUGCCUUUAAAACUGCAUCGCUAGAAUUGUGGAGAGGUAAGUGGAAUUCCGAGUGUAGAGGUGAAAUUCGUAGAUAUUCGCAAGAACACCAGUGGCGAAGGCGGCUCACUGGCCCGAUACUGACGCUGAGGCACGAAAAGCGUGGGGAGCAAACAGG
rnacentral:rRNA from 1 species